rnacentral:rRNA from 1 species
AUACGGAGGUUGCAAGCGUUAUCCGGAAUCAUUGGGUUUAAAGGGUCCGUAGGCGGGCUAAUAAGUCAGGGGUGAAAUCCCACAGCUUAACUGUGGAACUGCCCUUGAUACUGUUGGUCUUGAGUUACAGUGAAGUGGUUAGAAUGUGUAGUGUAGCGGUGAAAUGCAUAGAGAUUACACAGAAUACCGAUUGCGAAGGCAGAUCACUAACUGUAUACUGACGCUAAUGGACGAAAGCGUGGGGAGCGAACAGGAUUAGAUACCCUAGUAGUCC